GAUGAACGCUGGCGGCGUGCCUAAUACAUGCAAGUCGAGCGAACAGACGAGGAGCUUGCUCCUCUGACGUUAGCGGCGGACGGGUGAGUAACACGUGGAUAACCUACCUAUAAGACUGGGAUAACUUCGGGAAACCGGAGCUAAUACCGGAUAAUAUAUUGAACCGCAUGGUUCAAUAGUGAAAGACGGUUUUGCUGUCACUUAUAGAUGGAUCCGCGCCGCAUUAGCUAGUUGGUAAGGUAACGGCUUACCAAGGCAACGAUGCGUAGCCGACCUGAGAGGGUGAUCGCCCACAUUGGAACUGAGACACGGUCCAGACUCCUACGGGAGGCAGCAGUAGGGAAUCUUCCGCAAUGGGCGAAAGCCUGACGGAGCAACGCCGCGUGAGUGAUGAAGGUCUUCGGAUCGUAAAACUCUGUUAUGAGGGAAGAACAAAUGUGUAAGUAACUAUGCACGUCUUGACGGUACCUAAUCAGAAAGCCACGGCUAACUACGUG
rnacentral:rRNA from 1 species